rfam:Schistosoma margrebowiei strain Zambia genome assembly, scaffold: SMRZ_contig0002103
AUUAAGCUGACGAGUCCCAAAUAAGACAAAACGCAUGUCCUUAAU